rnacentral:rRNA from 1 species
AGGGAAUCUUCCGCGAUGGACGAAAGUCUGACGGAGCAACGCCGCGUGAGCGAUGAAGGUCUUCGGAUCGUAAAGCUCUGUUGUUAGGGAAGAACAAGUACGAGAGUAACUGCUCGUACCUUGACGGUACCUAACCAGAAAGCCACGGCUGACUACGUGCCAGCAGCCGCGGUAAUACGUAGGUGGCAAGCGUUGUCCGGAAUUAUUGGGCGUAAAGGGCUCGCAGGCGGUCUUCUAAGUCUGAUGUGAAAUCUUGCGGCUUAACCGUAAGCGGUCAUUGGAAACUGGAGGACUUGAGUACAGAAGAGGAGAGUGGAAUUCCACGUGUAGCGGUGAAAUGCGUAGAGAUGUGGAGGAACACCAGUGGCGAAGGCGACUCUCUGGUCUGUAACUGACGCUGAGGAGCGAAAGCGUGGGGAGCAAAC